GAAAUACGUGCAGCUUUACAGUGGUGAAUGGAGACAAUAACAGAACCUACUGGGAAAGAUGAAAUGAGACAAUGCUUGCAAAGCACUUAGCACCCCUACUAGCCCACAAACAAUUAUAAAGUGAAUGCCUGGCCUGCUCCGAUUUAGG